AACAGUUGAAAAUAGUUUUAUGUGAAUGGUGCAGAUAAUAGUAUACAAACUAAAAUGAAUUUGCAUACCUACACGCAGAAUAGGCUAGAAGACUAUUACCUUGACUAUAAAAUAGGUCCAAGGUUCGUCAGCGCAUGUAGGUACAAUUUAAUUUACGUAACAAAAUGUUCUACUGUUUAAUUUUCGCCACAUGCUUAAUAAAUUUGCAAAAAACAGGCGAAAAUUUAAUAUUUAUUUUCGAAUAUUUGCUUAAAGUACAUGUUUGCGUUGGCCUUUUUAGAAACUAAUACAGUGUUAUUAAAUCGCAAUGACAGAAUUCCUAACGUAUACGAUUUUACUUUACUUAAGUGCCACUUUCCUAUUUAAAUUAUCUUCCUACAGACAUAUUUUUAGUAGUUAUACAUACAUACAUAAAUACAUAUAUUCGUGCAUACAUACAUACAUAGAUAUACAAUAAAGGUAUUGAAAAUGCAGGAACUAUAUUUAAGAAAAACUCAAUUUUCCCCAACCAAGAAUUGUUCCUGAAUCCGCCCCUGCUAUGGAAGUACCUAAAUAAUAAUAAUUUAUUAUAUCUGAUCUUGAUGUUUUAAAUUUACAUUUACCGAUUGUGGAAAAAAUAUUGUACACAAAAAAGGAAAAUACCAACGUUUCGUCAGUGGUUACAAAGGAGUAAGGACACCGCGAGGAGUUUUUUAGAAGUCCUGUUUUUAUGCAAAAUGUGAGCAUUUUGCAAUACAUUCGCAAGGAGAUCAAAGAAUAAAUAGUGAAACGUUGCAACUCCAUUCCCCAUUAUUCGUUAAGAUGUGCGGACUCUGAAGCAAAUCUUUUCGUAAAUUAAGUUUCAAAUGUAAGAUUAAUAAUUUUAAUCUGUAUAGGUGUAAAAAAUAUGUAGAGAUCCAUACUGAUCCAUCUUCAUUCUUCCACGAUCAAAAAGGCCAACUUUUACAUUCACCAAAUAAAUUAUUUUCAUCUUCAAUGCUUCUUUUUAAAUAACCGGUAAUAAAUAUUCGAUUCUCAUUCCUUCUGCUUAUUUUUAUUUUAAUUUUUGUUAUUACUUUUAUUAUUAAUCGCAAAUGUUGACCUGCAACUGGAUUUAUUCCUUUCCAUUUUUAGUUUCGAUUUUAUUAAAGACUAAAGUUUUGCCCGCUCGCAUGAGAUUAGAUAUUUUUAAUUGUUUAGAAUAAAAGUACUUGUAAUAACCAAUAAACAAUUUAAAUAAAAUUGUCUAGGUCACUCCUGACAACCACUCUUCAUAUUUACGAAGUCCCAUCGAAAUUGGUUCAACUAUUUCAAUGAUUAGUCCGCAUGGAUGGACAAACAGACAGACGACAAUUUUUCCUAAUUUAUAUAUCUGUACUAUUUUAUUUAUUUAAUUA